rnacentral:rRNA from 1 species
AGAGUUUGAUCAUGGCUCAGAUUGAACGCUGGCGGCAGGCCUAACACAUGCAAGUCGAGCGGUAGCACAGAGAGCUUGCUCUCGGGUGACGAGCGGCGGACGGGUGAGUAAUGUCUGGGAAACUGCCUGAUGGAGGGGGAUAACUACUGGAAACGGUAGCUAAUACCGCAUAACGUCGCAAGACCAAAGUGGGGGACCUUCGGGCCUCAUGCCAUCAGAUGUGCCCAGAUGGGAUUAGCUGGUAGGUGGGGUAACGGCUCACCUAGGCGACGAUCCCUAGCUGGUCUGAGAGGAUGACCAGCCACACUGGAACUGAGACACGGUCCAGACUCCUACGGGAGGCAGCAGUGGGGAAUAUUGCACAAUGGGCGCAAGCCUGAUGCAGCCAUGCCGCGUGUGUGAAGAAGGCCUUCGGGUUGUAAAGCACUUUCAGCGGGGAGGAAGGCGAUAAGGUUAAUAACCUUGUCGAUUGACGUUACCCGCAGAAGAAGCACCGGCUAACUCCGUGCCAGCAGCCGCGGUAAUACGGAGGGUGCAAGCGUUAAUCGGAAUUACUGGGCGUAAAGCGCACGCAGGCGGUCUGUCAAGUCGGAUGUGAAAUCCCCGGGCUCAACCUGGGAACUGCAUUCGAAACUGGCAGGCUAGAGUCUUGUAGAGGGGGGUAGAAUUCCAGGUGUAGCGGUGAAAUGCGUAGAGAUCUGGAGGAAUACCGGUGGCGAAGGCGGCCCCCUGGACAAAGACUGACGCUCAGGUGCGAAAGCGUGGGGAGCAAACAGGAUUAGAUACCCUGGUAGUCCACGCUGUAAACGAUGUCGAUUUGGAGGUUGUGCCCUUGAGGCGUGGCUUCCGGAGCUAACGCGUUAAAUCGACCGCCUGGGGAGUACGGCCGCAAGGUUAAAACUCAAAUGAAUUGACGGGGGCCCGCACAAGCGGUGGAGCAUGUGGUUUAAUUCGAUGCAACGCGAAGAACCUUACCUGGUCUUGACAUCCACAGAACUUUCCAGAGAUGGAUUGGUGCCUUCGGGAACUGUGAGACAGGUGCUGCAUGGCUGUCGUCAGCUCGUGUUGUGAAAUGUUGGGUUAAGUCCCGCAACGAGCGCAACCCUUAUCCUUUGUUGCCAGCGGUUAGGCCGGGAACUCAAAGGAGACUGCCAGUGAUAAACUGGAGGAAGGUGGGGAUGACGUCAAGUCAUCAUGGCCCUUACGACCAGGGCUACACACGUGCUACAAUGGCAUAUACAAAGAGAAGCGACCUCGCGAGAGCAAGCGGACCUCAUAAAGUAUGUCGUAGUCCGGAUUGGAGUCUGCAACUCGACUCCAU